rnacentral:ncRNA from 1 species
CCGAGUGGAAGGGCCGUCGCUCAACUCAACGGUUAAAAAUUACUCUAGAGAUAACAGGGCGAUCUUCCCCAAGAGUCCACACUAAGGGAAGGUUUGGCACCUCGAUGUCGGCUCUCCGCCACCUGGAGCUGGAGGUUGUUCCAAGGGUUGGGUUGUUCGUCCAUUAAUGUUGUACGUGAGCUCGGUUCAGAACGUCGUGAGAUAAUUCGGUCUGUAUCCAGUGUGGGCAUUAGAGCAUUGAGAUGACAUUUCCCUAGUACGAGAGGACCGGGAAUGGCGCACCACCUCUGGUGUACCAGUUAUUGUGCCUACAGUAAACGUUGUGUAGCCAAGUGCGGAGAGGGUAAAUUGUCGAAAGCAUAUAAGUAGUAAGCCCACCCCAAGAUGAGUGCUCUCCCCUUCGACUUCCCUAGAGCCUCUGGUAUCAUAGUCG